rnacentral:rRNA from 1 species
AUUGAACGCUGGCGGAAUGCUUUACACAUGCAAGUCGAACGAUGAAGUCUAGCUUGCUAGACGAAUUAGUGGCGAACGGGUGAGUAAUAUAUCGGAACGUAUCCAUUAAUGGGGGAUAACUAGUCGAAAGAUUGGCUAAUACCGCAUACGUCCUACGGGAGAAAGCUAGGGACCUUCGGGCCUGGCGUUAAUGGAGCGGCCGAUAUCUGAUUAGCUAGUUGGUGAGGUAAAGGCUCACCAAGGCGACGAUCAGUAGCUGGUCUGAGAGGACGACCAGCCACACUGGAACUGAGACACGGUCCAGACUCCUACGGGAGGCAGCAGUGGGGAAUUUUGGACAAUGGGCGAAAGCCUGAUCCAGCCAUUCCGCGUGAGUGAAGAAGGCCUUCGGGUUGUAAAGCUCUUUCGCAAGGGAAGAAAACUUACCCUCUAACAUAGGGUGAGGAUGACGGUACCUUGAUAAGAAGCACCGGCUAACUACGUGCCAGCCGCCGCCGUAA